UAUUAAUGCUUUGUGAUAAAAAAGGACAGUGAGAGAAGAUAGCUAGCCUAACCAUUAAAAAUAGUUUCGUAAAUUUCGGUUUAUUAAGCGCACCUGCAUAAUAAUCCGCAGUCACUAAAUUUUUCAAAGUGUCUUCUUUUUUCACAAAUAAGCCGCACUGGUUUAUAAACCACAAAUAUAUACGGCAAAUUCUUUCAAACUCUUUAAAUUAGUAUAAACACAAAGUGAAGUAUAAAAUUAAAACGGGGUAAAUAAAUAUGAACAAAUUUAAUUCAUGAGAAGUAUAUUUAAAUCUUAAGCAAACCAAAUAGAUAAAUUAACAACAGAAUACUAAGCUUAAAAAAAAAAAAAAUGAACAGUGCAACAUAGGGAUCUGGCGACUAGCACGUCACCACCUGAACCCAGCCAACAGGUAACAAAUAAAAUCGACACCCGCAGCAUAACAGAAAGGCGAUUCACACCUGAACUAAGUUUCCCCCUUACCACGCUCAUCCCUUUUUCCAUGUAAAUCACAGACCCAACCACUACCUUCACAAUGCGAAAUCGCCUUUUGGUGGAAGUUUUUUUUACCCUCCUAACUCGACAACAAUAAACAGAUGAGUGUGAUAGUGUUGCGCGCACGUGGGUGUGACAUCACACUUGUUCGAGUGUUUGUCGGAGAAAUCUUUGACUUUUUACGUAUACGUAUGCUUGACCUGUCUGUCUGUCUGUCCGUCCGUCUUUCUGUCUGUCUCUCUCUCUCACACACACACACACACUUCUACGAGUGGUGUAAGAAUUUAGGUGACUAUAAUAUAUAUGGUUACGUACGGGUUUUGACAUGUUUCUAAUGUGGUGUACACAGACAUUUCAAGAAGCUCCGCCUUUUUUUUCCAGAUUUUAUUUGUGCCGCUGUCAAGCAAUAGUAGAUGAUAUGUAAAAGGGAGAGAGAGAGAGCCCAAGAUAAUCUUCGGCUUACUAUUGCACGGUACAAGGAGGCCGCCAUGUUUUGUUGCCAUCAUGGAGACGUGAGUCAGACGCUCACGUCCAUUCUCGUCAAGUAUAGUUGUCGAAGCCCUACAUCUGAAGAUCUUGCUGUAGGUUUCGAACAUGACUAUCACCAAACAAGAAAACAAGUAGAGCAAAGAGAAUAGGCCAGUUUCCUCCAAGCGGUAUGUGACGAAGCAGUGAAGAGGAAUUGACAGUGAGUAUAAAAGAGGAGAAGGAAGCUGUCACUUUGAAUGACCAGUAAGUCUGCUUGCAGUGGAUCUUUUCCAUACACAAGAAUUUUCUUACCUGAGGCGCUUUAGAACUUUGGCAGUUGCCAACUGUGAUAGAAAACUGAGCGCAGUGCGCACACCUCACGAUUUUAGAAGACUUAGUCGGGGAAAAAAGUCAGCCACAACAAAAGAAAUAUUGUGCCGCCAGCCUCAGGUGGUGGCCAGACUCAUACACGGAACACAAAAUACAGAUACCGGAUCACAGCGGCCUGUUCACACAGACAACAGCAGGAGGAAUGUUCGCACCGGCAAAUCCUUGAGAGACGGCGUCCUCACAAGACGGAAGUUGCAGUUGGAAGGAUUUCGAUAUGUAUUCAUCAUAAAAUCCGACGACACUCAGCGAAACUAAGUGGCACAGAACUUCAGAUAAUCAAGACAAAUAACUCAGCAAAUUUGGCCAAUACUCAAGGAAUGGAUUUUAGAUACCAACCGAAUCCACUGAGAGCCAUAUUUUUUUUAUCCACACAGACAUUUUUUUUUUAAUUUUCAAGAAUGGAGUCUGAGAACUAUCUGUGAGGGUUGCUUCUGCUUCACAAUUUUUAUUUUUUUGUUGAUUUACAACAAAGCUAUCAGCGCAAUGACGACGUGGCAGAAGAGCUUUGUGGGCUCAGACAAGGCCGAGCUGCCAGUUAAACUAGAUUACAGCGACACCUACAGAGAAAACGACCAGCUCGACCUUGAUCUUUUCGAGCACUUGGCAGAGCUUCAUCGUGCACAGAGGCGGAGACUAAUGCGACAGAGACGAGGAACUGGAAGUGGCCCGAGCCAGUGCUGACAAGAUCCUCCGACUCAAGACAACGGUGAGCAGUCGAGAAGGCGAGUCCUCCAACGACGUUUUCCCGCAGGAGAUGCGCGCGCCACAGAGGAAGCACAGCGUGUCGGAGAGCGAGGACGAGGCUGGGGCAACAACUGUUCUCGUCAAGUCCACGUCGUCGGACCGAAGGAUCGCCAAGGAGAGGGACCGUUACAGUGCCAAGAACUUGUUCAAUGUGGUCAGACGGCGAGGCAGCAAGCCCUGCUUGGGAGAGGGCAACAACGCGACCACCAUCAAGAUGGCCAUGGACUCGCCCAACGGUCUGCGGACAGCAUCCGCCCCGACCGCGUGCCGACAGCAGGUCGUCCAGACUGUCGUCCAGCCGCACAGCCGGCCAGGCAGUUACCGGGCGCCAGCAGACUGUGGCUAUGUUGCCGCCGCGGCGUCGUCAUUAAACGCGCGGCGUGCCACUUCCGCUCCGCCUGGAAGUUUCUCCAAACGACUCUACGGCAACUCCGACGGAACAAUGGUGCGCCGUCCACGUUCGAGGCGUGAGCUUGAAAGGUUGUGCAGUUUGAAGAUCGAUCCGUUUGAGGAAGUGUCCGUUUACUCACAACGGACUUCAAAUGGCAACUCAAAAACGGAAGUGCUGGAGAACUUGCGCAAACACAAUUCGGAAUUGCAAUCGAAAGUAUCUGAUUUCAUUAAACAGCUGGAGAUCUUCAACAAGAAAGGUAGAAAAUCGCGGUUAGAUCAUAUAUUGGAAGAAAACUAACCUUUUCAAAACUGACAAUUGUAAUAAUUGUUUUUCCUUCUUUCAAAGUCUUCAUCCAAUUCCUUCUUCACCUUCUACUUUUUAAAAAAUCCUUAUUAGAAAAGUGAGCCCAGAGUGGUAUACUUUUCUCUUACCUUCGCACAUUCACAAGCAUACUCAUGACAAAGAAUAGAUACGAAGUCUUUUGAGAUUAAACACAAAGGAAAGUUUCUAAUUCUUUUAGAAAAAAAAAAACCAUGACACAAUGAUACCGAAAAUGGUAUUAGCUGAUCCCAGCUCAUCUGCAGCUCAUAGCGAUACAAACGAUGCGCGUGGUGGUUGGCGGUGGCGCAGUCUGUAACCACGGCAAAGGAAAUCAGGAUCGUGAGGUCGAAUCUCAUCUCUACAAUAGCUCUUUUUUUUAUGUAACAUCUUACACGGCUGACUGUCGAUGGUUCGCUCCAGGUACCCACUCUGCGUGUGCCUGGGUGUAUGUAAUGGUUUUGAAAACUUGGUAUGUGCUCGGCGUGGUAGGAAUGUGUUCUCUCUCUUUCUAUAUACAUGUAUAUAUAAUCUUAUGUAUGUAUCCCCUCCUUCACUGCGUAAUUCAGCUUACAACCCUCUAAAUGUCUUGUUUCGUGCUUAAAAAAAAAGUCAAAGCUUUGAAUUUUUUUUAAUGAUUUUAAUUAUGUUGAGCAACUCUUUAUUGACUAAAGAAAUUCUACAUAGAACUAAUGAAAAUUUAUCCCAAAUUAAAGAAAUAAAACAUUUGUACAGACUGUUCAAGGUGUAACAGCGAUCAUCUCUUAAUGAGCAGACAUAAAGGGCCUUCCAAGUUUACAGGAAAAUAGUCAUAGGAGAAAUUCUGGAUAAGGUGUGGUCCUUUCUAGCUCUUAAUUGUACAGAAAAAUUUAUUAAAAAAUCUUUCUGAAACUGUUAGUAAUGCUAAAGUAUGAAUAUUAGUAUCAAUAGUUAACAAUUAUUUUAAACAAGAAACAUCUUAACCACGUAUGUUCGGGAAGUAGGAGCGGGGUGGAACAUUUAUCAGCAUUCUAAAACCAGUGGCAUACUUACUACCUUCAUGCUUUGUCUUUACCUCUGUGUUUACUUCCACAAGCUACUCAUUCCAAGAUA
rnacentral:lncRNA from 1 species